UAUUCAUUUUGCUUCUUUUUUAUUCAAGUUUUGUUUAUCAUCGUUUUGCUUAGUUCUAUAUGCUUAUUCAGUUGAUAUUGCUCGCCAAGAUAAAAGCCAAAUUUUGGUUUUAUCCUGUUCUUAUAGUUUUUCAUACUUUGUCUGUUUCUCUUAUUCAGUUCAUAAAGUACUGCCUCAUAGUUUAUUAGUACGAUCAUCUUGUUGCUUGUUCAAAAUAUUCAAUCUGCAGUUAAUUCCAAAAGGAAGGCAAGAAUGGGUUCUAGUACGAUUGACAAGAAGAAAAGGAAUAAUCCAUUCAAGAGAGGUCUACCCUGAAUUCUGAAGCCAAGCUUUUAUGUUGUGGCACCUCAAGAAUGUCAAAGUAACUGGGUUCUAUGAGAUGAUACUUUUUGCAGUUCCAGUAGUUUACAUGUCUGCAACUCUGAAAAACUAAGCGUACUGUUUAUUACUCUAUUUGGUUACAGAACUUGUUCUCUUGUUCCAUCUUUCUUAACAUCUGGACCAGAAUUCUGAGAACAUUUGAAAGUGUUCUGUCACUCCAUUUGUAAAUAUUCCAAAAAAUGUUCCAGUAUUUACUUUAGAACAUUUGAAAUGUUCUGUAACUCCAUUUGAAAUGUUCCAAAUAAAGUUUCAAGAAUUACUUC